GAUGAACGCUGGCGGCGUGCCUAAUACAUGCAAGUCGAGCGAAUGGAUUAAGAGCUUGCUCUUAUGAAGUUAGCGGCGGACGGGUGAGUAACAUGUGGGUAACCUGCCCAUAAGACUGGGAUAACUCCGGGAAACCGGGGCUAAUACCGGAUAACAUUUUGAACCGCAUGGUUCGAAAUUGAAAGGCGGCUUCGGCUGUCACUUAUGGAUGGACCCGCGUCGCAUUAGCUAGUUGGUGAGGUAACGGCUCACCAAGGCAACGAGGCGUAGCCGACCUGGGAGGUUGAUCGGCCACACUGGGACUGAGACACGGCUCAGACUCCUACGGGAGGCAGCAGUAGGGAAGCUUCCGCAAUGGACGAAAGUCUGACGGAGCAACGCCGCGUGAGUGAUGAAGGCUUUCGGGUCGUAAAACUCUGUUGUUAGGGAAGAACAAGUGCUAGUUGAAUAAGCUGGCACCUUGACGGUACCUAACCAGAAAGCCACGGCUAACUACGUGCCAGCCGCCGCAGUAA
rnacentral:rRNA from 1 species